UACGAAGGGGGCUAGCGUUGCUCGGAAUCACUGGGCGUAAAGGGUGCGUAGGCGGGUCGUUAAGUCAGGGGUGAAAUCCUGGAGCUCAACUCCAGAACUGCCUUUGAUACUGAGGAUCUUGAGUUCGGGAGAGGUGAGUGGAACUGCGAGUGUAGAGGUGAAAUUCGUAGAUAUUCGCAAGAACACCAGUGGCGAAGGCGGCUCACUGGCCCGGUACUGACGCUGAGGUGCGAAAGCGUGGGGAGCAAACAGG
rnacentral:rRNA from 1 species